rnacentral:rRNA from 1 species
UGAGGAAUAUUGGUCAAUGGGCGGAAGCCUGAACCAGCCAUCCCGCGUGCAGGAAGAAUGCGCUAUGCGUUGUAAACUGCUUUUCCAGGGGGCGAACGUUCCGUACGUGUACGGGAGUGACGGUACCUUGGGAAUAAGCAUCGGCUAACUCCGUGCCAGCAGCCGCGGUAAUACGGAGGAUGCGAGCGUUAUCCGGAUUUAUUGGGUUUAAAGGGUGCGUAGGCGGAUUAAUAAGUCAGUGGUGAAAACCUGCAGCUUAACUGUGGAACUGCCGUUGAUACUGUUAGUCUUGAGUAUGGUCAAGGUAGGCGGAAUGUGUAAUGUAGCGGUGAAAUGCUUAGAUAUUACACAGAACACCGAUUGCGAAGGCAGCUUACUGGGCCACAACUGACGCUGAUGCACGAAAGCGUGGGGAUCGAACAGG